AGUGAACGCUGGCGGCGUGCCUAAUACAUGCAAGUCGAACGGAGUGGAGCACGGGUGAGUAAUGUAUAGCUAAUCUGCCCUACACUAGAGGACAAAAGUUGGAAACGGCUGCUAAUACUCUAUAGUGUAGGAUGAGGCUAUAUUGUAUCAGCUAGUUGGUGAGGUAAUGGCGCAGCAAGGCUAUGACGCAUAACUGGUCUGAGAGGAUGAUCAGUCACACUGGAACUGAGACACGGUCCAGACUCCUACGGGAUGCAGCAGGAGGGUAUAGUGCUCAAUGGGGGAAACCCUGAAGCAGCAACGCCGCGUGGAGGAUGACACUUUUCGGAGCGUAAACUCCUUUUGUUAGGGAAGCGGUACCUAACGAAUAAGCACCGGCUAACUCCGUGCCAGCAGCCGCGGUAAUAC
rnacentral:rRNA from 1 species